rfam:Mus musculus chromosome 8, GRC primary reference assembly.
CGCCCCCAGGCUAUGAGGAAAGAGACACCUUGUUGGUGGUGGUGUUCUUAUAUCAGUGAGGGGCAGAGCAGAUGAUCAAACUCAUCCUAGCUUGAUGCCUGUCUUGGUGACCAAAGCUGUCUUACGCUUAGAACUCAUAC